rnacentral:lncRNA from 1 species
UCAGUUGUAACACAGUGAGCAGGAGAGAUAACACGUAUCAAGAUGUUCAGAAGGACGUUGCUGUUCGCCUUUUCUCUGCUGGUGUUCGCGUUGUCUGCGGUGGCCCAGUCCAACAAUGGCCGCGGACCCAACUCGCUCCCUGGCUUCAGGAGCAGAUUCGGCCACAGGGGGAGACUUGGACUUUUGAAGCCUCACUUUGAUGACCGCUUCUGGCACGAUUUUGACAUCUAUGGCUUCACGAGAACCGGAUAAAAGGCAGCCACAAGAAACAAGGCUUUUGAAUCCAGCCCACCAAACCUUAGAAAUUUCAAAGAGAAAAAAAGGCCGUUUUAGAGUCUAAUUCAACAGGAGCAAAUCUACCGAGGAAGGAAUUCAUUGGCAUCGCUGUAAUAAUCUGAUAAUCAUUCUGUUCAGGAGGAU